UACGAAGGGGGCUAGCGUUGUUCGGAUUUACUGGGCGUAAAGCGCACGUAGGCGGAUUGCUAAGUCAGGGGUGAAAUCCUGGAGCUCAACUCCAGAACUGCCUUUGAUACUGGCGAUCUCGAGUCCGGGAGAGGUGAGUGGAACUGCGAGUGUAGAGGUGAAAUUCGUAGAUAUUCGCAAGAACACCAGUGGCGAAGGCGGCUCACUGGCCCGGUACUGACGCUGAGGUGCGAAAGCGUGGGGAGCAAACAGGG
rnacentral:rRNA from 1 species